rnacentral:rRNA from 1 species
GAUGAACGCUGGCGGCGUGCCUAAUACAUGCAAGUCGAGCGAACGGACGAGAAUCUUGCUUCUCUGAUGUUAGCGGCGGACGGGUGAGUAACACGUGGAUAACCUACCUAUAAGACUGGGAUAACUUCGGGAAACCGGAGCUAAUACCGGAUAAUAUUUUGAACCGCAUGGUUCAAAAGUGAAAGACGGUCUUUCUGUCACUUAUAGAUGGAUCCGCGCUGCAUUAGCUAGUUGGUAAGGUAACGGCUUACCAAGGCAACGAUGCAUAGACGACCUGAGAGGGGGAGCGGAAAAAAGGGAAGUGAGACACGGAAAAGAAUACGACGGGAGGAAGCAGAAGGGAAGAUUACGAAAUGGGCGAAAGAAUGACGGAGAAAAGCAGAGGGAGAGAUGAAGGAAUGAGGAUAGGAAAAAACUGUUAUGAGGGAAGAAAAAAAGUGGAAGAAAAAGAGAAAAGAGUGACGGUAACUAAACAGAAAGCAACGGCUAACUACGUG